rnacentral:rRNA from 2 species
CGUCCUAUUAGCUAGUUGGUGAGGUAAUGGCUCACCAAGGCUACGAUGGGUAGGGGUUCUUAGUGGAGGGUCCCCCACACUGGCACUGAGAUACGGGCCAGACUCCUACGGGAGGCAGCAGUAGGGAAUAUUGGUCAAUGGGCGCAAGCCUGAACCAGCCAUGCCGCGUGCAGGGUGAAGGCUCUCUGAGUUGUAAACUGCUUUUGUACAGGAGCAAAAAAAUCCCUGCGGGGGUUCUUGAGAGUACUGUAAGAAUAAGCACCGGCUAAUUCCGUGCCAGCAGCCGCGGUAAUACGGGAGGUGCAAGCGUUAUCCGGUUUUAUUGGGUUUAAAGGGUGCGUAGGCGGCUUAUUAAGUCAGUUGUGAAAUCCUAGUGCUUAACGCUAGAACUGCGAUUGAUACUAUU